GCACGUGUUGCUGCUCGCGAAGCUGCGUGCGGCAGACCAGAUCGAUUUCUCGCGAGCCGCUGUCGACUCUUCAUCGAUUCGUGCUGUUGGGGCGGGCCAAAAACUGGGCCAAACCCCACUGAUCGCGCACGACCCGGUUCCAAGCACCAUAUCGUCACCGACGCCAACGGCACGCCGCUCGCCGCGAUCCUGACUGGCGCCAACGUCCACGACGUCACGCAAUUGCUGCCGCUGAUCGACGCGAUUCCGCCGAUUCGCGGAUUGCGUGGCCACCCACUGCAGAGACCGCGCGUUGUCUACGCCGAUCGCGGUUACGACUCCGAGCGACAUCGAAGAGCAUUGCGCAAUCGCGGUAUCGAGCCAGUGAUUGCCAGGCGCCGUACCGAACACGGCAGCGGCCUUGGCAAACAUCGCUGGGUCGUUGAACGCACGCAUGCCUGGUUGCAUCACUUCCGUCGACUCCGUAUUCGCUUCGAGCGUCGUGCCGACAUUCACGGCGCGUUCCUCAAACUCGGUUGCUGCCUGAUUUGCUGGAACACUCUUCAGCGCACCGAACAGCCUUUAUGAAACAGUCUCUUAGUAACGUAGCUAACGCGUGAAGUUGACCGCCUGGGGAGUACGGUCGCAAGAUUAAAACUCAAAGGAAUUGACGGGGACCCGCACAAGCGGUGGAUGAUGUGGAUUAAUUCGAUGCAACGCGAAAAACCUUACCUACCCUUGACAUGGUCGGAAUCCUGCCGAGAGGCGGGAGUGCUCGAAAGAGAACCGGCGCACAGGUGCUGCAUGGCUGUCGUCAGCUCGUGUCGUGAGAUGUUGGGUUAAGUCCCGCAACGAGCGCAACCCUUGUCCUUAGUUGCUACGCAAGAGCACUCUAAGGAGACUGCCGGUGACAAACCGGAGGAAGGUGGGGAUGACGUCAAGUCCUCAUGGCCCUUAUGGGUAGGGCUUCACACGUCAUACAAUGGUCGGAACAGAGGGUUGCCAACCCGCGAGGGGGAGCUAAUCCCAGAAAACCGAUCGUAGUCCGGAUUGCACUCUGCAACUCGAGUGCAUGAAGCUGGAAUCGCUAGUAAUCGCGGAUCAGCAUGCCGCGGUGAAUACGUUCCCGGGUCUUGUACACACCGCCCGUCACACCAUGGGAGUGGGUUUUACCAGAAGUGGCUAGUCUAACCGCAAGGAGGACGGUCACCACGGUAGGAUUCAUGACUGGGGUGAAGUCGUAACAAGGUAGCCGUAUCGGAAGGUGCGGCUG
rnacentral:rRNA from 1 species